rnacentral:lncRNA from 1 species
CGGCUUGUCCAGGAUGGACAUCCAUCCCUUCUUGAAAUUGAGGAGAUCUGGCGUCAUGGCGGGGGCGCGGCGGGGCCGGCUGCGGGCAGCCAGGGCGGCGGGGCGGCUUCAGCGGCCGGGCGGCUCCCGCGGCCCCACCAUGCCCGCUCGCUCCGCCGCCCGCCCCGAGCUUUUCCGAGGGCUUUUUUUUUUUUUUUUUUUUU